rnacentral:lncRNA from 1 species
GUGGCAGCACCCUUUCAAAUUACCGACGAAGACAGUGAGUGUCAAAACUAUGGCAUUAAGUUAUUUGCAUUUUCUAGGACUGCACCAAUGAAGACACUACCAUUUCUGCAGGGUUUGCACAGAAGGCAAACCUUCCAUCCUGACAGCAGCUAGGGGCCCGCCAUCUGGUGAUGCAACAUCCCCGAAGGCAUUGUCUUUCUUCUGCAAAACAAGCUCACAAAUCCUGGAGACCACUGAGCCACCCCUCAAGUUAAACAGGAAAACGGCAAAUUGCUUAUUGAAUAUGCACAGUAACCCUCAGCCCCCCGGUACAUAGUCAUAUAUUCUUCGUUGUGGGUCCUUCCAGUUGUGGCAUGUGGGACGCUACCUCAGCGUGGUUUGAUGAGCAGUGCCAUGUCCGCACCCAGGAUUCGAACCAACAAAACACUGGGCCACCUGCAGUGGAGCGCGUGAACUUAACCACUCGGCCACGGGGCCAGACCCUCCUUUUUGAUCACUUCAUUAUAACUAUACAGAUCUUGAUUUUAAUGUUAAAAGAGAGAAAUGACAAGAAAAAUUCAGGGAAUAUAAUAUAUUAUUUUAAAACACAUCCUUUUCCCCAUAAAUGAACCUCUCAUUAUUUGCAUAUCUGUGUGUAACUACAAUGGAAAAAUAAAAUAAC